UGACCUCAAAUCAGGUAGGACUACCCGCUGAACUUAAGCAUAUCAAUAAGCGGAGGAAAAGAAACUAACAAGGAUUCCCCUAGUAACUGCGAGUGAAGCGGGAAGAGCUCAAAUUUUGAAUCUGGCAGUCCUUGGCUGUCCGAGUUGUAAUCUAGAGAAGUGUUUUCCGCGCUGGACCGUGUAUAAGUCUCCUGGAAGGGAGCGUCAUAGAGGGUGAGAAUCCCGUCUUUGACACGGACCGCCAGUGCUAUGUGAUGCGCUCUCGACGAGUCGAGUUGUUUGGGAAUGCAGCUCAAAACGGGUGGUAAACUCCAUCUAAAGCUAAAUACAGGCGAGAGACCGAUAGCGAACAAGUACCGUGAGGGAAAGAUGAAAAGAACUUUGGAAAGAGAGUUAAACAGUACGUGAAAUUGCUGAAAGGGAAACGCUUGAUGUCAGUCGCGUUGGCUGGGGAUCAACCUUGCUUCUCGCUGGGUGUACUUCCCGGUCGACGGGUCAGCAUCAGUUUCGAUUGCUGUACAAGGAUGAGGGGAACGUGGCACUCCCCGGAGUGUGUUAUAGCCUUUCAUCGUAUGCAGCGGUUGGGACUGAGGAGCUCAGCACGGCUUCUCGCUUGUGCUCAGGAUGCUGGCAUAAUGGCCUUAAGCGACCCGUCUG
rnacentral:rRNA from 1 species